UACGAGAGGCCCAAACGUUAUUCGGAAUCACUGGGCUUAAAGCGCGUGUAGGCGGGACGGCACGUCGGUCGCUGAAAGCCCCCGGCUCAACCGGGGAACGGGCGCCGAUACGACCGUCCUGGAGGGACGUAGGGGGACCUGGAACUUCCGGUGGAGCGGUGAAAUGCGUUGAGAUCGGAAGGAACGCCCGUGGCGAAAGCGAGGUCCUGGACGUUUUCUGACGCUGAGACGCGAAAGCCAGGGGAGCGAACGGG
rnacentral:rRNA from 1 species